rnacentral:ncRNA from 1 species
ACCUUGCUUUGGGAUAGGACUUAAUUGAACAUUUUUAAUUAAAUUUAUAAAUAAGUAAGCGAUUCAAUUUUUUUCUAAAAUUGAAAGCUUGGCUCUGACUUUACUGUAUAGUAAUAACUAAAAAAUACACAUGGUUUUUAUUGACAGAGACGAGGUAAAUUAAAAUUAUUAAAUUAUAUAAAAUACAAAAAUAAUUUUUGUUUAUGAUAUUAUUUUUUACAAAAUGUCUUGAAAAGUCCCGUUAACACCAGUGUUUGAGAUUAAGAUAAAAGCGAAAGCUUGUAUUAAUUUAGUAAUAAGAUCUGGUUAACUUGGUGCCAGCAUCCGCGGUUACACCAAGAGAUCAAAUUAUACAUAUUAGGUAAAAAGGUAGUUAAAUAUUAUAAAAUUAUUAAUUUAAUGAUUUUUUAUAUAUAGGUAAAAUUUAUAUAUAAUUAAAUAAGCCUGUAUAAAUUAAUUAUAUUGAUUCUGCGAUACCCAAGAGGGAAACUGGGAUUAGAUACCCCAUUAUUCUUGGUUGUAAAUAAACAUAAGUUUACCGGAGUACUACGAAUCUCAUACUAAAAAUUUAAAACUCAAAGAGCUUGGCGGUGUUCUAGACCUCUCAGGGGAACCUGUCUCAUAAUCGACAAUCCGCGUUACACCUAACCUUUUUUUGCAUAACAGUUUGUAUACCGUCGUCGUCAGGUAACUUUUUAGAAAAUAGAAGUUGGCAAAAAAAUUUUAUUAAAUUUAAACGUCAGAUCAAGGUGCAGCCUAUAUAAAGGUGAAGAUGGGUUACAAUUAAAAAUUAUAAUUAUGGAUAAAAUAAUGAAAUAUUUAUUUUAAUGAAGGAGGACUUGAAAGUAAAAUAAAUUUAUAUAAACUCUUUGAAUUAGGCUCUGAAACAUGCACACAUCGCCCGUCGCUCUCAUUGAAAAAUGAGAUAAGUCGUAACAUAGUAGAGGUAAUGGAAAUUGUCUCUGGAUU